rnacentral:rRNA from 1 species
CUAGUCAUAUGGAUUCGCCCGCCGCGCCCCGCGCCCGUCCCGCCGCCCCCGCCCGCUCCUAUGGGAGGCAGCAGUGGGGGAUAUUGGACAAUGGGGGGAACCCUGAUCCAGCGACGCCGCGUGAGUGAGGAAGUAUUUCGGUAUGUAAAGCUCUAUCAGCAGGGAAGAAAAUGACGGUACCUGACUAAGAAGCCCCGGCUAACUACGUGCCAGCAGCCGCGGUAAUACAAU